rnacentral:snRNA from 1 species
GUGCUUGCUUUGGCAGCACAUGCACUGAAAUCAGAGAACAAUUCAGAGAUGAACAAGACCCCUGCUCAAGGACAACACGCAAAUCUGUGAAGCAUUCCAUAUUAAA